CGCUGAUUGAGAGAUUAGCCUUAUAUUGUUUAUUGUUAGAACUCAAAUGUAUCAUUUUUUUAAGGGUGAGCAACUAGGUCGGUUCAAUCCGGAACCGAACCGAACUCGCCGAUUCGACACUGGUUCACACGAGAACCGGUCAGCUCUAAUGUAAAAAUUCUGGGAACCAGUUUUUGGGAGAUCUGGUUUGGAAGAGUUCAAAACAAUGCUAAAUAUUUUAUAUAUAAGACCCUUGCUACUUUCUUUAAGUUCUCACUCUCAUAGCUAGCCUCUUUAGUCUCUUGACUUUCCCCAGCGGUGCCAUUGAUCUCUGUCUCUUUCUGGAGUCUUGCCCAAUCUCAUCUCUCUCUCUCUCUCUCUUUCUCUCUCGGUCUUGCCAACACCGUCUCCUGUCCUACUCUCUUGAUCUGGCCGGUUGUGGCCUCGCCUUUGUUGGUCGGCUGUCGAUCAGCCCACGAUUAGCCAGGAUGUGCAACUCCAUGCUGUAGCGGAGCUUGAGCCAUUAGAUCGGACGAGCAAGGUAAUAGUGGUGGUUGAUCAUGGGUCAACGAACGCCACCGAAGGUCUAGGCGGUAGUGGGCAUCGAUGGAGGACCGCUGGAGGAGCUUUGGCCGAGCGAUGGUGAGAUGGAAGAUGAUAAACAGUUGUGAAGAAAAGAAAAAAGAAAGAAAAGAACAUAAAGAAAAAUAAAUAAGUAAAAAGACGGCGUUGUUUUGUCCAUGUUGGAUCGCCAACGGUAACAUGUAGGAUGGCCAACGAUGAGUUGACCGCCACGUCACUAAUUGCAGGUGAUAAUUAGUAUGAAGGACUAUAUUGAAAUUUCAUGUAAAGAUUUAUGACUAUAUUGAUAAAAUUGAAAAGUGUAA